CCUACGGGAGACAGCAGUGAGGAAUAUUGGUCAAUGGGCGAGAGCCUGAACCAGCCAAGUCGCGUGAGGGAGUACUGCCCUAUGGGUUGUAAACCUCUUUUGUCGGGGAGCAAAAGCUGGACGUGUUCGGCGGUGAGAGUACCCGAAGAAAAAGCAUCGGCUAACCUCGUGCCAGCCGCCGCGGUAAUACGGAGGAUGCGAGCGUUAUCCGGAUUUAUUGGGUUUAAAGGGUGCGCAGGCGGAUUGUUAAGUCAGCGGUCAAAUCGUGGGGCUCAACCCCAUCCAGCCGUUGAAACUGGGGAUCUAGAGUGGGCGAGAGGUAUGCGGAAUGCGUGGUGUAGCGGUGAAAUGCAUAGAUAUCGCGCAGAACCCCGAUUGCGAAGGCAGCAUACCGGUGCACAACUGACGCUCAGGCACGAAAGCGUGGGUAUCGAACAGGAUUAGAUACCCCAGUAGUC
rnacentral:rRNA from 1 species